rnacentral:rRNA from 1 species
AAUGAACGCUGGCGGCGUGCUUAACACAUGCAAGUCGAACGAGAAAGGCUGAUUUCGGUUGGCCGAGUAAAGUGGCGCACGGGUGAGUAACGCGUAGGCAACCUACCCUUGUAUUGGGGAUAACCCCGCGAAAGCGGGGCUAAUACCGAAUAAGACCCGAUUUCGGUGGGAAUUGGGUGAAAGUCGGCCGCUCGAAGAAGCUGACGUGCGAGGAUGGGCCUGCGUCCUAUCAGCUAGUUGGUGGGGUAGUGGCCUACCAAGGCGACGACGGGUAGCUGGUCUGAGAGGAUGAUCAGCCACACUGGCACUGGAACACGGGCCAGACUCCUACGGGAGGCUG